UACGAAGGGGGCUAGCGUUGCUCGGAAUCACUGGGCGUAAAGGGUGCGUAGGCGGGGUUUUAAGUCAGAGGUGAAAUCCUGGAGCUCAACUCCAGAACUGCCUUUGAUACUGAGAAUCUUGAGUUCGGGAGAGGUGAGUGGAACUGCGAGUGUAGAGGUGAAAUUCGUAGAUAUUCGCAAGAACACCAGUGGCGAAGGCGGCUCACUGGCCCGGUACUGACGCUGAGGUGCGAAAGCGUGGGGAGCAAACAGG
rnacentral:rRNA from 1 species